rnacentral:lncRNA from 10 species
GGUGCCUGUGUUUCACUUUAACCAGAUUUCUCUAGGGAAUGUCCUGGAAGAGGAUGCCUGAGAGACACUUCAUCCUCCUAAGGAUGAUCUUGCUAGUGAACUUUUCCAAGAAAAAAUUUAUUCAGAAAAAAAUGACACCAAACAACCAUAUGUGCUCUAUGUAUAAGGAUGAACUUUAAUGUCUACUUUCCUACUACUGGAUUUUGCGGGAACCAACUGCCCUAGCAAUUAGAAGCCUAGGUGGCAGCAGCCCUUUGGGAGUCAUGGGCCUUGCCUGCAUGGUGAGUAGGAGCUUGCUUAAUGCUUCUUCAUUUGUGAGUGACUUUGAACUGCUUUUUCAGAGUGGGAGCCACCC